GGAAUUUUGCGCAAUGGGCGAAAGCCUGACGCAGCAACGCCGCGUGAGUGAUGAAGGCCCUCGGGUCGUAAAGCUCUGUCAGAGGGGAAGAACCCCCGAUCGGCUAAUAUCCGGUCGGGCUUACGGUACCCUCAAAGGAAGCACCGGCUAACCCCGUUCCCGCAGCCGCGGUAAUACGGAGGGUGCGAGCGUUGUUCGGAAUUAUUGGGCGGAAAGCGCGUGCAGGCGGCCAUUUAAGUCUGAUGUGAAAGCCCUGGGCUCAACCCGGGAAGUGCAUUGGAAACUGGAUGGCUUGAGUACGGGAGAGGGAAGUGGAAUUCCGAGUGUAGGGGUGAAAUCCGUAGAUAUUCGGAGGAACACCGGUGGCGAAGGCGGCUUCCUGGACCGAUACUGACGCUGAGACGCGAAAGCGUGGGGAGCAAAC
rnacentral:rRNA from 1 species